UACGGGAGGCAGCAGUGGGGGAUAUUGCGCAAUGGGGGCAACCCUGACGCAGCAACGCCGCGUGAAGGAUGAAGGUUUUCGGAUUGUAAACUUCUUUUGUUAGGGACGAAUUUUGACGGUACCUAACGAAUAAGCUCCGGCUAACUACGUGCCAGCAGCCGCGGUAAUA
rnacentral:rRNA from 1 species